rfam:Oribacterium sp. oral taxon 078 str. F0262 genomic scaffold Scfld1, whole genome shotgun sequence.
UGCCUUACAAGAUGUUGUAAGGGCUGAGAAUUGUUGUCAACAGUUCGCCAGCGAGCUCCGAUAAGAGCGGUUGGG